GGAAAAUUAUACUUUGGGAUGUGAGGCUACCUACAGGUUCAUCAUCAACAGAGAGAUGUGAGGCUACCUACAGGUUCAUCAUUAACAGAGUGAUGUGAGGCUACCUACAGGUUCAUCAUUAACAGAGUGAUGUGAGGCUACCUACAGGUUCAUCAUUAACAGAGAGAUGUGAGGCUACCUACAGGUUCAUCAUUAACAGAGAGAUGUGAGGCUACCUACAGGUUCAUCAUUAACAGAGUGAUGUGAGGCUACCUACAGGUUCAUCAUUAACAGAGUGAUGUGAGGCUACCUACAGGUUCAUCAUUAACAGAGAGAUGUGAGGCUACCUACAGGUUCAUCAUUAACAGAGAGAUGUGAGGCUACCUACAGGUUCAUCAUUAACAGAGAGAUGUGAGGCUACCUACAGGUUCAUCAUUAACAGAGAGAUGUGAGGCUACCUACAGGUUCAUCAUUAACAGAGAGAUGUGAGGCUACCUACAGGUUCAUCAUUAACAGAGAGAUGUGAGGCUACCUACAGGU